UACGUAGGGCGCAAGCGUUGUCCGGAAUUAUUGGGCGUAAAGAGCUCGUAGGCGGUUUGUCGCGUCUGCCGUGAAAGCCCGGGGCUUAACUCCGGGUCUGCGGUGGAUACGGGCAGACUAGAGGCAGGUAGGGGAGAACGGAAUUCCCGGUGUAGCGGUGAAAUGCGUAGAUAUUGGGAGGAACACCAGUGGCGAAGGCGGCUCGCUGGACCGGUUCUGACGCUGAUGCGCGAAAGCGUGGGGAGCAAACGGG
rnacentral:rRNA from 1 species